UACGGAGGAUGCGAGCGUUAUCCGGAUUUAUUGGGUUUAAAGGGUGCGCAGGUGGCACGGCAAGCCGGCGGUCAAAUCGCGGGGCUCAACCCCGCCCAGCCGUCGGAACUGCCGGGCUAGAGUGGGCGAGAAGUGCGCGGAAUGCGUGGUGUAGCGGUGAAAUGCAUAGAUAUCACGCAGAACUCCGAUUGCGAAGGCAGCGCACCGGCGCCCUACUGACGCUCAGGCACGAAAGCGUGGGUAUCGAACAGG
rnacentral:rRNA from 1 species